GAAACCCUAAAAAUUUCUCACUUGCGCCGCCAUGGUCCCCCGUACAGUCAACCCCAGUCAACCAUAACCAUAGUUUAUAUAUAAUUUUUUUUCCAGAUUUCCUUCAUUUCUCCCAACUUCUCCCCACUCCUAGCUCCCCAACUUCCCUCCGGCGAUUUGAGCACCUCCGGUCAUCUUUCCAAGGUAUUUUACUCCUCCUCCUCCUCUUCUUCUUCUUCAUCUUCUUCUUCUUCUUCUUCUCCAUCUUCUUAUUCUUCUUCUUGUCCUCUUAUUUUUCAUCUCUUCUUUUUCUUUUCUUCUUCUUCUUCUUCUUCAUUUAAUCUGCAUUUAAUCUUUUUUAUUUUUAUCUUUUUCUUUUGUUCUUCAUUUGAUUGUAUUGGUGUUUGAUUUAAUUAAGGGUUUAUCUAUUUGGGGGUUUAUGUAUUUAGUAUUUGGGGUGUUUAUUUGGGGGUUUAUGUAUUUGAGGGUUUUAUUUUAAGGUUAGAUGUUAGGUUUUGAAAUUGGUUAUUUUUUGGUUGAUUUAAUUAGGGUUGAUUUACUGUUUUAAUUAGGGUUAAAUUUAUGAUUUAAUUAGGGUUAAGUUUAUGGUUGACUUACUGUUAAUUAGGGAUUUAAUUAGGGUUAUGUUUAUGGUUGAUUUAUGUAUGUUGAUGAAAUAAAAUGGUUAAAUUAAAUGAAAAAAAUGAAAUCAAGUUUAUCGGAUUUAUAUGUUUAUGGUUAAAUUAAAUGAAAUGCAUGAAGUGAAGUUAAAUUAGGAUUGAUUUACUAUAUUUAUGUAUGUUGAUUUAUGUAUAUUUAUGGUUAAAUUAAAUGAAAUGCAUGAAGUGAAGUUAAAUUAGGAUUGAUUUACUAUAUUUAUGUAUGUUGAUCUAUGUAUGUUUAUGUAUGUUGAUACAAUAGGUUGAUUUAUUUAUGUUAUUUUGUAGUUUUAGUUUUAUUUAGUUUUAGUUUAUUUAGUUAGUUUUAGUUUAAGUUUUAUUUAUUUAGUUUUAGUAGUUUUAGUUUAUUUAGUUAGUUUUAGUUUAAGUUUUAUUUAUUUAGUUUUAGUUUUACUGUUUUAGUUUAUUUACUUUUAUUUUUAGUUUUAGUUUUAUUUUAUUUUAGUUUAGUUUAUUUAAUUACAAAUUAAUUAAUUAAUUUAAUUUAAUUGCGAUUUUAAUUAUGUUAUUUAAAUUAUUUUGUUAUAGAUUGGAUUUCUUCGCCGCCGGUCAUCCACCGAACUGUUUUUCCAUCGGACAACUCUCGGCUGGUGUUUUGAAGGUUUGUAUAAUUUUUAAAUUUAAGUGUUAUAUGUGUUAUGUAUUAUAUGUGUGUUAUAUCUUGUAUUUUGGUUAUUUAUGUAUAUGAUGUUUUAUGUAUUUGUGGGUUUCAUUAGGGGAUUAAUUUGAUAAUGUUAUUUUGGGGGUUUAUGUAUAUGAUGUUUGAGUUUUAGGGUUUUAUUUUUUAAUUUGGGAUUAAGUAUUAGGGUUUUGAUUUUAUUAUUUAAUUAGGGUUUUAAAUUUUUGUUUUUAUAUUUAAUUUUUUUGUUGUUUUAUCUACUGUUUUGAAAUUUUUGUUUGUUUAUAAAUUUUAUAAUUAAAGGUUUUUUUAAUUCACUGUUAUAAUUUAUUUUCAUUUUAGUGUUUUGUUCAAUUUUUGUUUGUUUUAAAUCAUUGUUUUAAUGUUUAUUUAAGGUUUUAUUUUAGUGUAUUAUUUACUUAUAUUAUUUGUUUUUUGUGAUAUUGAUAAAUAAGAAAGGUCAUUACAUAUUAUGUGUUGUAUAUGUUAAUCGAUAUAUAAGUUUGUGAUAUGUUAUGUGUUAUAUAUGUUGAUAUGUUUUGUAGGAUUUGCGAUAGUCAUAUUGCGUUUUGCGAUAGUCAGA
rnacentral:lncRNA from 1 species